rnacentral:rRNA from 1 species
CCAGACUCCUACGGGAGGCAGCAGUGGGGAAUAUUGCACAAUGGGGGAAACCCUGAUGCAGCGACGCCGCGUGAGUGAAGAAGUAUUUCGGUAUGUAAAGCUCUAUCAGCAGGGAAGAAAAUGACGGUACCUGAUUAAGAAGCCCCGGCUAACUACGUGCCAGCAGCCGCGGUAAUACGUAGGGGGCAAGCGUUAUCCGGAAUUACUGGGUGUAAAGGGAGCGUAGACGGUGAAGUAAGUCUGGAGUGAAAGGCGGGGGCCCAACCCCCGGACUGCUCUGGAAACUAUUUGACUGGAGUGCAGGAGAGGUAAGCGGAAUUCCUAGUGUAGCGGUGAAAUGCGUAGAUAUUAGGAGGAACACCGGCGGCGAAGGCGGCUUACUGGACUGUAACUGACGUUGAGGCUCGAAGGCGUGGGGAGCAAACAGGAUUAGAUACCCCUGUA